GAUUGGUUCGGGUUGUGGUUGUAUUCCCGCCCCUGCUGGUUGAGACGUUCCUCUUCUCAAGUCUCCAGAACCUUCCAGGCCGAAACUUUGCUGCUCGCUGUGAAGAUGAUGGGCCAGCAGGUUCUAGUGCUGAACCAGAACAUCAAGAGAGAGUCCGGGCGUAAAGUCCAGGCCGGAAACAUCAACGCUGCCAAGACCAUCGCUGAUGUGAUCAGGACCUGCCUCGGCCCUCGGGCCAUGAUGAAGAUGUUGCUCGACCCCAUGGGGGGCAUCGUGAUGACCAACGAUGGAAACGCCAUCCUCAGAGAGAUCCAGGUUCAGCAUCCUGCAGCCAAAUCGAUGAUCGAGAUCAGCCGCACACAAGAUGAGGAGGUGGGAGACGGGACCACGUCAGUCAUCAUCCUGGCUGGGGAGAUGCUGUCUGUAGCCGAGCAGUUCCUGGAGCAGCAGAUUCACCCCACGGUGGUGAUCGGCGCCUACAGACAGGCUCUGGAGGACAUGCUGGAGACACUGAAGGACCUCAGCACCCCCGUGGACACGUCAGACCGCUCCAUGAUGCUGAAGAUCGUCCACUCCGCCAUCAACACCAAGGCCCUGAGCCGCUGGUCCCAACUGGCCUGUGGCAUCGCGCUGGACGCCGUCCGCACGGUGGAGCUGGAGGACAACGGGCGCAAAGAGAUCGACAUCAAGAAGUAUGCCAAGGUGGAGAAGGUGCCGGGCGGCAUCAUCGAGGACUCGUGUGUGCUGAGAGGCGUCAUGGUGAACAAAGACGUGACCCAUCCCAGAAUGAGACGCUCCAUCAAAGAGCCCCGGAUCAUCCUGCUGGACUGUUCCCUGGAGUACAAGAAGGGCGAGAGCCAGACGGACAUUGAGAUCAGUAAGGAGGAGGACUUUGCCAGAAUCCUGCAGAUGGAGGAAGAAUACAUCCAGCACAUCUGUGAGGACGUCAUCCGCCUGAAGCCUGACCUGGUCUUCACCGAGAAGGGCAUCUCAGAUCUGGCUCAGCAUUACCUGAUGAAGGCCAACAUCACCGCCAUCCGCCGGGUGAGAAAGACCGACAACAACCGCAUCGCCAGGGCGUGCGGGGCUCGUAUUGCCAGCCGGACCGAUGAGCUGCGUGAGGAAGAUGUCGGUACGGGCGCCGGUCUGUUCGAAGUGAAGAAGAUCGGUGACGAGUAUUUCACCUUCGUCACAGAGUGCAAAGACCCCAAAGCCUGCACCAUCCUGCUGAGGGGGGCCAGCAAGGAGAUCCUGGCUGUGAGACUUACACCACCAUCGGUUACACCGUCACUCACACCGCUCAUCGGUUACACCGUCACUUCUACCUCUUCUACUCAUCGGUUACACCGUCUCUUCUACUCAUCGGUUACACCGUCUCUUCUACUCAUCGGUUACACCGUCUCUUCUACUCAUUGGUUACACCGUCUCUUCUACUCAUCGGUUACACCGUCUCUUCUACUCAUUGGUUACACCGUCUCUUCUACUCAUCGGUUACACCGUCUCUUCUACUCAUUGGUUACACCGUCUCUUCUACUCAUUGGUUACACCGUCUCUUCUACUCAUCGGUUACACCGUCACUUCUACUCAUCGGUUACACCGUCUCUUCUACUCAUCGGUUACACCGUCUCUUCUACUCAUUGGUUACACCGUCUCUUCUACUCAUCGGUUACACCGUCACUUCUACUCAUCGGUUACACCGUCUCUUCUACUCAUUGGUUACACCGUCUCUUCUACUCAUUGGUUACACCGUCUCUUCUACUCAUUGGUUACACCGUCUCUUCUACUCAUUGGUUACACCGUCUCUUCUACUCAUCGGUUACACCGUCACUUCUACUCAUUGGUUACACCGUCUCUUCUACUCAUCGGUUACACCGUCACUUCUACUCAUCGGUUACACCGUCUCUUCUACUCAUCGGUUACACCGUCUCUUCUACUCAUUGGUUACACCGUCUCUUCUACUCAUCGGUUACACCGUCACUUCUACUCAUCGGUUACACCGUCUCUUCUACUCAUUGGUUACACCGUCUCUUCUACUCAUUGGUUACACCGUCUCUUCUACUCAUUGGUUACACCGUCUCUUCUACUCAUCGGUUACACCGUCUCUUCUACUCAUUGGUUACACCGUCUCUUCUACUCAUUGGUUACACCGUCUCUUCUACUCAUUGGUUACACCGUCUCUUCUACUCAUCGGUUACACCGUCACUUCUACUCAUCGGUUACACCGUCACUUCUACUCAUCGGUUACACCGUCUCUUCUACUCAUCGGUUACACCGUCACUUCUACUCAUCGGUUACACCGUCUCUUCUACUCAUCGGUUACACCGUCACUUCUACUCAUCGGUUACACCGUCACUUCUACUCAUCGGUUACACCGUCACUUCUACUCAUCGGUUACACCGUCACUUCUACUCAUCGGUUACACCGUCUCUUCUACUCAUCGGUUACACCGUCUCUUCUACUCAUCGGUUACACCGUCACUCACACCGCUCAUCGGUUACACCGUCACUUCUACCUCUUCUACUCAUUGGUUACACCGUCACUUCUACCUCUUCUACUCAUCGGUUACACCGUCUCUUCUACUCAUCGGUUACACCGUCUCUUCUACUCAUCGGUUACACCGUCUCUUCUACUCAUCGGUUACACCGUCACUUCUACUCAUUGGUUACACCGUCUCUUCUACUCAUCGGUUACACCGUCACUUCUACCUCUUCUACUCAUCGGUUACACCGUCUCUUCUACUCAUCGGUUACACCGUCACUUCUACCUCUUCUACUCAUCGGUUACACCGUCACCUCCAUCGAUUACAUGUGCCGCUUGCUGUCUUCAGGAAGUAGAGAGGAACCUCCAGGACGCCAUGCAGGUGUGCCGUAACGUGCUGCUGGACCCCAGCCUGCUGCCGGGGGGCGGAGCCAUAGAGAUGGCGGUGUCGAAGCGCCUGAUGGAGCGCUCUCGGGCGCUGACUGGCAUCGAGCAGUGGCCGUACCGCGCCGUGGCCCAGGCCCUGGAGGUCAUCCCCCGCACGCUGAUCCAGAACUGUGGAGCCUCCACCAUCCGGGUGCUGACCUCCCUGAGGGCCAAACACACCCAGGAGAAUAGUGUGAACUGGGGCGUGGACGGUGAGACCGGCUGUCUGUCUGACAUGAUGGCGUUGGGCAUCUGGGAGCCGCUGGCUGUGAAGGCUCAGACCUACAAGACGGCCGUGGAGACGGCCAUCUUGUUGCUGCGCAUCGAUGACAUCGUCUCUGGUCACAAGAAGAAAGACAAAGAUGGUCAGAUGGGAGGACAGGGAGCCGAGUAGAUCCACAUCGAUCCACAUCGAUCCAGAGCAACAUCAAAGCCACUCCAACAGUGUGUGUGUGUGUGUGGACCAGACAACUCAAUGAAACUCAAUAAACAGUCAGUUAGAAACUCG